rnacentral:lncRNA from 1 species
GAAUGAGAAGUUGCCUGCCAACCAGCUGGGAAGAGGAGGUGGAGGAAUGAAAAGUUGCCCGCCAACCAGCUGGGAAGAGGUGGAGGAAUGAAAAGUUGCCUGCCAACCAGCUGGGAAGAGGAGGUGGAGGAAUGAAAAGUUGCCUACCAACCAGCUGGGAAGAGGAGGUGGAGGAAUGAGAAGUUGCCUGCCAACCAGCUGGGAAGAGGAGGUGGAGGAAUGAAAAGUUGCCUGCCAACCAGCUGGGAAGAGGAGGUGGAGGAAUGAGAAGUUGCCCGCCAACCUGCUCUUCAGUCCAGCCACGCAGCGUCCCACUGCCACAGUGUCUCAGAUGCAGCCUGCCUUCAGUGUCUACAAUGUCCUGCAGCCUGCAUACAAAAGAAUCCAGCCGUGCCAUGAAUAAAGAAGCUUGUUUCUUAAAUCCCUUCACAUGGAACCAGAGGCAGAGCUGCUGCUAUGCUUGAGCCCUCC